UGCCCCAUGGCUGAGUUGGUUACAGCGUCCGACUGUUAUCAUCAGUUGACUAAAGAAGUAACAAUCGGAAGGUCGUGAGUUCGAGCCUCACUGGGGCAG